rnacentral:rRNA from 1 species
UACGUAGGGCGCAAGCGUUGUCCGGAAUCAUUGGGCGUAAAGAGCUCGUAGGCGGUUUGUCGCGUCUGCUGUGAAAACCUGAGGCUCAACCUCGGGCUUGCAGUGGGUACGGGCAGACUAGAGUGCGGUAGGGGUGACUGGAAUUCCUGGUGUAGCGGUGGAAUGCGCAGAUAUCAGGAGGAACACCGAUGGCGAAGGCAGGUCACUGGGCCGCAACUGACGCUGAGGAGCGAAAGCAUGGGGAGCGAACAGG